rnacentral:misc_RNA from 1 species
GAUGAAGAACGCAGCGAAAUGCGAUAAGUAAUGUGAAUUGCAGAAUUCAGUGAAUCAUCGAAUCUUUGAACGCACAUUGCGCCCGCCAGUAUUCUGGCGGGCAUGCCUGUUCGAGCGUCAUUACAACCCUCAGGCCCCCGGGCCUGGCGUUGGGGAUCGGCAGAAGCCCCCUGUGGACACACGCCGUCCCUCAAAUACAGUGGCGGUCCCGCCGCAGCUUCCAUUGCGUAGUAGCUAACACCUCGCAACUGGAGAGCGGCGCGGCCAUGCCGUAAAACACCCAACUUCUGAAUGUUGACCUCGAAUCAGGUAGGAAUACCCGCUGAACUUAAGCAUAUCAAUAAGCGGAGGA